rnacentral:rRNA from 1 species
UGGGGAAUUUUGGACAAUGGGCGAAAGCCUGAUCCAGCAAUGCCGCGUGUGUGAAGAAGGCCUUCGGGUUGUAAAGCACUUUUGUCCGGAAAGAAAUCCUCUGGGUUAAUACCUCGGGGGGAUGACGGUACCGGAAGAAUAAGCACCGGCUAACUACGUGCCAGCAGCCGCGGUAAUACGUAGGGUGCAAGCGUUAAUCGGAAUUACUGGGCGUAAAGCGUGCGCAGGCGGUUUUGUAAGACGGAUGUGAAAUCCCCGGGCUUAACCUGGGAACUGCAUUCGUGACUGCAAGGCUAGAGUAUGGCAGAGGGGGGUUAGAAUUCCACGUGUAGCAGUGAAAUGCGUAGAGAUGUGGAGGAAUACCGAUGGCGAAGGCAGCCCCCUGGGCCAAUACUGACGCUCAUGCACGAAAGCGUGGGGAGCAAACAGGAUUAGAUACCCUGGUAGUCCACGCCCUAAACGAUGUCAACUAGUUGUUGGGGAUUCAUUUCCUUAGUAACGUGAGCUAACGCGUGAAGUUGACCGCCUGGGGAGUACGGUCGCAAGAUU